CAAUCUGGGGUGCCAUUUGGCUGAGAAACACCCAUUGAACCUGCUCUGGUUAGCACCAGCGAAGGGAGCA
rnacentral:ncRNA from 1 species